rnacentral:lncRNA from 1 species
UUAUCUCAUGCCAAGCAUGCCCAGCAUUUGCACAAUAUCAAUACCUUUAAUACUAUAGUUUUCAAGAAACACAAAAUAAAAUUUUAAGGCAAAAACAACACUUUGAAACAAUUUAAUGAUUUAUUACAUUACAGUGGCACUCUGCUUUUCCUUCCCAUUGUUUCUUUCUUUUAUACCACAGUAUUCAUAUUUUAAAAUGUUUUAACUUAUUUCAGAACAUUAAGAUAGCAGUUACAUUUGUUAAUAGUUAUAUUAUUUUAAAAUGACUCUAAGAUAAAGUUUUAGAGAAACUAUAUUAUGUACUUUUAAAAUGAUUAUUAUAUAUGGCAAUCUUUAAACAGGUGUUUUGAUUCUUCCUACAGAAACUCAAAGGUAUUCAGUGGGACUCAGAUUUUAAAAUUCUCUGAUUCUGAUGAACUCUAAUAUUCCAAUGUUGUCUUCUAAGCAAACUGAAAGCUGCCUUAUACUGAAUGAGGAAGAGCACAAAUACUCGGCUGAAUGAGGUAUCACAAAAGACUGCAUGCACUUUGAAGAAAGACUUAAGUCAUUGUCAUACAAUUUCCAUUCUUUUUAGCUUUUUCUUAAAUAUAUGCCAA